rnacentral:rRNA from 1 species
GGCGGCUGCUACACAUGCAGUCGACGGUGAAGCCAAGCUUGCUUGGUGGAUCAGUGGCGAACGGGUGAGUAACACGUGAGCAACCUGCCCUGAACUCUGGGAUAAGCGCUGGAAACGGCGUCUAAUACUGGAUAUGAGCUGCGGAGGCAUCUUCGUGGUUGGAAAGAUUUUUCGGUUUGGGAUGGGCUCGCGGCCUAUCAGCUUGUUGGUGAGGUAAUGGCUCACCAAGGCGUCGACGGGUAGCCGGCCUGAGAGGGUGACCGGCCACACUGGGACUGAGACACGGCCCAGACUCCUACGGGAGGCAGCAGUGGGGAAUAUUGCACAAUGGGCGGAAGCCUGAUGCAGCAACGCCGCGUGAGGGAUGACGGCCUUCGGGUUGUAAACCUCUUUUAGCAGGGAAGAAGCGAAAGUGACGGUACCUGCAGAAAAAGCGCCGGCUAACUACGUGCCAGCAGCCGCGGUAAUACGUAGGGCGCAAGCGUUAUCCGGAAUUAUUGGGCGUAAAGAGCURUARGCGGUWUGUHRCGUCUGCUGUGAAAUCUGGGKGYUCAACCCCCAGCCUGCAGUGGGUACGGGCAGACUAGAGUGCGGUAGGGGAGAUUGGAAUUCCUGGUGUAGCGGUGGAAUGCGCAGAUAUCAGGAGGAMCACCGAUGGCGAAGGCAGAUCUCUGGGCCGUAACUGACGCUGAGGAGCGAAAGGGUGGGGAGCAAACAGGCUUAGAUACCCUGGUAGUCCACCCCGUAAACGUUGGGAACUAGUUGUGGGGUCCAUUCCACGGAUUCCGUGACGCAGCUAACGCAUUAAGUUCCCCGCCUGGGGAGUACGGCCGCAAGGCUAAAACUCAAAGGAAUUGACGGGGACCCGCACAAGCGGCGGAGCAUGCGGAUUAAUUCGAUGCAACGCGAAGAACCUUACCAAGGCUUGACAUACACGAGAACGCUGCAGAAAUGUAGAACUCUUUGGACACUCGUGAACAGGUGGUGCAUGGUUGUCGUCAGCUCGUGUCGUGAGAUGUUGGGUUAAGUCCCGCAACGAGCGCAACCCUCGUUCUAUGUUGCCAGCACGUAAUGGUGGGAACUCAUGGGAUACUGCCGGGGUCAACUCGGAGGAAGGUGGGGAUGACGUCAAAUCAUCAUGCCCCUUAUGUCUUGGGCUUCACGCAUGCUACAAUGGCCGGUACAAAGGGCUGCAAUACCGCGAGGUGGAGCGAAUCCCAAAAAGCCGGUCCCAGUUCGGAUUGAGGUCUGCAACUCGACCUCAUGAAGUCGGAGUCGCUAGUAAUCGCAGAUCAGCAACGCUGCGGUGAAUACGUUCCCGGGUCUUGUACACACCGCCCGUCAAGUCAUGAAAGUCGGCUAACACCUGAAGCCGGUGGCCCAACCCUUGUGGAGGGAGCCGUCGAAGGUGAUCC